GUUAGUAGAACAACUCUAGAGGAAAAGCUGGGCCGGAAAAGUGGGAACCUCUAGGGCGCCGCCCUGUUGCUACUGGUCAAUGUGGCCAGCGCAAUUACUAUUGAAAGAGCUGAGAACAAGUACAGGUCACCUUAUGCUUUGUCACCUAAAAACGCAUACCUGAUGGCUUUAUGAAGGUGGUACGUUAAUAUUAAGUUUACAGAAAGCGAUCGCUAAGUCCGUGACUUAUGUAAAUCACGAUGUACGCAUUCAUGCAAUAAAGGAUGACGCGAAUUUCGGUUUCGAAUCUGUUUUUUGGAUGCGUAGUAGUUUCGUUUGACAUGCGAUCGCGCGUCGACAUCGGACGCUAUGACACACUCGUGCCUUAUGUGCCACCGAAGCCCCGAAGUGGUCUGGCAUAUACCUUCACAUAUAUGCAAUGGCAAGCCCUUCCGUGUGUUCCAAAGACAAUGCCUACGCCUAGCCACAGCAGCUCCCUCAUACAGACUCCGCAAACCAAGAGGCCGUGGAGGCAAAUGCAGGUAAGAGGCAAUAAGCAAUAGCACUGGUAUCGACAUUCAUCUAAUUUCUUUUUAUUUCGUUUAGGCAGCCAGCACACCUCGAACAGCCACCUUGACUGCGGGUGUGUCACCCUAGUCGCCAAGGAAACAUUUGAGGGAAAGUGACAGGCAAUGUGAACAGCCACUCCUCCAUGUAAACAAUACUCUUUCUCUCGGAUGACUCCUACGCCUCACCACGCCAGCACACUUGUGCACAAAGAUGCCGCAGAGGCACGUGCAGGUCAGAGGCAAGAAGCAGUGGCACUGGUGUCGACAUUUACCCAAUUUCUUUUUCUUACACUGAGGCAGCCAGCACACCUCGAACAGCCACCUCGACUGCGGGUGUGUUAGUUGAUCCCUGUUGUACAUAUGCUCAUAAUAAACUUCAGUAAACUUGAACUUCAUAAUAAACUUGAAGGCAAAUGGUA